rnacentral:rRNA from 1 species
UACGUAGGGCGCAAGCGUUGUCCGGAAUUAUUGGGCGUAAAGAGCUCGUAGGCGGCCUGUUGCGUCCGCUGUGAAAUCCCGGGGCUCAACCCCGGGCCUGCAGUGGAUACGGGCUGGCUAGAGGCAGGCAGGGGAGAACGGAAUUCCUGGUGUAGCGGUGAAAUGCGCAGAUAUCAGGAGGAACACCGAUGGCGAAGGCAGGUCUCUGGGCCGAUACUGACGCUGAGGAGCGAAAGCGUGGGGAGCGAACAGG